GCCGGGAUCGCCUAAUCGGUUAAGGCGUCGCCCCAGGCGAAGGGUUGCGGGUUCAAUCCCCGCUCCUGGCC
rnacentral:tRNA from 1 species